AUUCUGAAAUCAAACCGCUCUUACUGUACAGAUAUAUCUAUAUAAAUGUUAUCAUGGACUGCAAGUGUACGAGUCAUAUGGCACUAGAAAGAUUUGAGAUAUAUUGUUUCUAUUUCAUACUCCAAUGUCAAUCUCUACUAUAAGUGAAAAAUCUCCAAGAAGCUUAUUUACCAGUGAUACUCUAAUACAUGUUUUAGUAACAUUCGAUCACCAGUGACAUCUUGAUAUAAGUACUAUUCUUACAUAAGUAACAUCUGAUAUUUGUAACGUCCUAUUAUCAGAAAAAAAUUCCUAAAUCAUUGAGAUCCUUAUAUGCUAUCUACAACACCCUGAUAUAGGUGACAUCCGAACAUCAUUGACAUCCGAACAUCAGUAAAACCAUUUUAUCAGUACUAAUAUAAUUAAACAACAUCCUAACAUCAUUGACAUCCUUAUAUCAGUAACAUAAUCAGAUCCGCAAUAUCCUGGUAUAGGUGACAUCCGAACAUCAGUGACAUCCUUAUAUCAGUAAAACUAUUUUAUCAGUGCCAUACUUAUAUCAGUAACAUUCUCAUAUUAGUAACAUCCUAAAAUCAGUAUCAUCCUUACAUGGGUAACAUGUGAUAUUUGCAGCGUCCUAAUAUUAGAGUAACCUUAAAAAUCAUCGACAUCCUUAUAGCAGUAACAUUCUCAUAUAAGUAACUACAUUAUAUAACUGACAUCUCAAUUAUAAUACAUUCUUAUGUCAGUUACAACGUAAUAUCAGUAACAGUCUUACAUAAGUAACAUCCUUAUACAUGUAUAAGUAGUAUCCUUAAAUAAGUGACAUCUCAAAUACAAGACGUUCACAAAUCUACGUGACAUCUUUAUAUCAGUGACAUCCUAAUGUAAGUAACAUCCUUAUUUCAGUAACAUUUAUAAGUAGCGCCCUCAUAUAAGAAAAAGUCCUGACAUAUAUCCAAGAUAUCUUGAUAUUUGUAAUAAUUUUUGUGACGUGAUUUUGACAAAAAUGCGGUGAAAGAAAAAUUUGAGUGAAAACAUUUUUGAAUUAUGUGUCAUGCGUAGCAUUAUCUUUUUUUUAUUAUUAUUAUUAACAUAUUUCUCGAUUUACAAACAUUAGCAGUGUCGAGACAGUGAUGUAGUUAUAUUUUCUCAGUUUUGUUAAAACUAUGACACAAUAAAUGUUUGUGAUUAAGAGAAUUAAGAGUACUGUUGUGGUACUUUAUACACAGGAGGUAUAUACCAACUGUACUACCAUUAAUUUGCUAGGUAAUAUUCCUUAUAGAAACCAGUAUAGCGAUCACACAAAUAAUGUAGAAACCUAUGUAAUUCCAUGUGUACUCAGGAUACCACUAUUCAGUAAAAACAAUGUUUAGUAACAUGUCUAUAGUGACACAUUUAAAUUCAGUUCAAUAUGAUAUAGUGUACUCCAGCCAAUCAGUAUUUAGCAAACAACAGAACCCUUAAGUGACACAAAACACAAUAUAGUACUCUUGUUUUAGGAGAUCCAUAAACAGAAACCUGUUGUCGAAAUCCAUAAACAGAAACCUGUUGUCGAAAUCCAUAAACAGAAACCCUGUUGUCGAAAUCCAUAAACAGAAACCUGUUGUCUUAUUAUGUUAAAAGUUAUUAUUUAUAGGUAAACAUCUAAGCUUCUUUGUGACCUUAAACAAGCUGCCUCUAUCGGAAGCUUUACAUAGUUAUCAAUCCCAUCGAGACAGAAACAAGAUUGUUUCUGAAACUCUGUGAAAGGGAUUCGGCAUAUCACAGUAAAACUAAUAAUUAAUCCACUGCUGCUUUCAAAUAUGAGCAAACACAAAUCUGUCAACUCUACUGAAGAUUUCCAGAAAUUCUCUGACGAGAGGAAGCGAUAAAACUAUCUUAGGAAUAUUCUUAAUCAUCAGACAUUUAAAAAGACCCAAAAAGACCUACCAGAUUUGGGUUAAUAUUCCAUCUUAGACAAAACCCAUCGGUACGCCACAUAUACUGUAUACAGCGAAUACCCUGAUUACACAGCAGACCACCUGUCGUAUAAGACAUCAUGAAUUGAAAUCUUAUAACAUGGAUUUCCUUGGUAUAGUAUUAUACAUAAAUUUAUCUCACACUGAGAACAUUGUCCUCUCUGUAAAACAUUUCAUUUCAAAAUUAUUUUAUUGUUGCAAUUAACAACAGGAUUGGCACAGGCAUUGCCUGUAAAUCACGUUGAGUAUACAAUAUUGUAAAUGUAUAUUCAAGUUUGUUUCACCUUCUCAAGCCCUUCUUUCCCCUCACUCAUUCUGGAAGUGAGACAAUUUUAUUAGCCUUCAUCCAGCAACAGACAUCAAAUGACAAA